GGGAGGGAGGAGGCCUGGGGAGUCCGCCUCGGCACGGGAAGGGGCCGGGCAGUCCCGUCGGGGAAGUGGGAGGGGGCCCCCCUCCCGGCGCCGGGAGGGAAGCGCCUGCUGCCUGGGGCUCUGAGCCACUAGCUUCUCGGCGGUCGAUCGGGACUCCACCACCAGCUGUCCUGGGCUCCCUCCUCAGGCCUGGCCCAUUCAAGCCGCGGUAGAAUCGCGGGCAGUGAGUUUGGGGGGCGGAGGGAGGACCUCGAGGCUCCCUUUCUUCAAUCCCAAAUCCUGCUUCUCCCGGAGACGAGGCUUUUGCUAGGGCAUCUCUGCGGUCUGGGUUUGACGGGGGGAGGAGCGAAAGAUGGGGCAGUGUUCUCACAGCCAACUGAGAAAAGGCUGGGAGGCUACAGGGAGUGCCUGGCGGAUGGGAUUGCCGCGAGGCUGGGGAAACGGGAUGGAAGUGGCUUGGACCCAGUGAGAGAGGCACAACUGGGGUCCGGACCGGCCACAGGCAGUAACGCUACACCUGGCCCUCCCCAGCCCGGGGUCCGCCCUCCACCCCGGCUAGGCACCGGGGCAGGGAGGACUAUGGCCCGCCUCUUCAGUCCCCGGCCGCCCCCCAGCGAAGAUCUCUUCUACGAGACCUACUACAGCCUGAGCCAGCAGUACCCACUGCUGCUGCUGCUGCUGGUGAUCGUGCUCUGCGCGCUCCUGGCGAUGCUGGCUGUCGCAUCAGCCAGCGGCAGGGAUCUAGUUUCAGACCCGGGCUUCCUGACCACUGUGCUGUGUGCACUGGGUGGCUUCUCGCUUCUCCUGGGCCUGGCUUCCCGUGAGCAACGACUGCAGCGCUGGACACGUCCCCUAUCGGUCCUCGUGUGGGCAGCGCUACUUGGGCUAGGCCACGGCUUCCUGUUCACUGGGGGCCUGGUGAGCGCCUGGGACCAGGUGUCCUUUUUUCUCUUCAUCAUCUUCACGGUGUAUGCCAUGUUGCCCUUGGGCAUGCGGGAUGCCGCAGCUGCGGGCCUUGCCUCAUCACUGUCCCACCUGCUGGUCCUUGGGCUGUACCUUGGACCUCAGCCGGACUCCCGGCCGCCGCUGCUGCCCCAGCUGGCAGCAAACGCCGUGUUGUUCUUGUGCGGGAACGUGGCUGGAGCCUAUCACAAGGCACUGAUGGAGCGCGCGCUCCGCGCCACGUUCCGGGAGGCCCUUCGGUCCCUGCACUCGCGCCGGAGGCUGGACACUGAAAAGAAGCACCAGGAACACCUACUCUUGUCCAUCCUUCCUGCCUAUUUGGCCCGAGAGAUGAAGGCAGAGAUCAUGGCACGGCUUCAGGCUGGACAGGGGUCAUGGCCAGAGAGCACCAACAACUUCCACAGCCUCUAUGUCAAGAGGCACCAGGGAGUCAGCGUGCUGUAUGCUGACAUCGUGGGCUUCACACGGCUGGCCAGUGAGUGCUCCCCUAAGGAGUUGGUGCUCAUGCUCAACGAGCUCUUUGGCAAGUUCGACCAGAUUGCCAAGGAGCAUGAAUGCAUGCGGAUCAAGAUUCUGGGAGACUGUUACUACUGUGUCUCUGGGCUCCCACUUUCCCUGCCCGACCACGCCAUCAACUGCGUGCGCAUGGGGCUGGACAUGUGCCGGGCCAUCAGGAAACUCCGCGCAGCCACUGGCGUGGACAUCAACAUGCGUGUGGGCGUGCAUUCAGGCAGCGUGCUCUGCGGAGUCAUCGGGCUGCAGAAGUGGCAGUAUGACGUCUGGUCCCAUGAUGUCACGCUGGCCAACCACAUGGAGGCGGGUGGCGUGCCAGGACGAGUGCAUAUUACAGGGGCUACCCUGGCCUUGCUAGCAGGGGCCUACGCUGUGGAGGAUGUAUCCAUGGAACACCGGGACCCAUAUCUUCGGGAGCUAGGGGAGCCCACCUACCUCGUCAUCGAUCCCCGGGCUGAGGAGGAGGAUGAGAAGGGCACUGCAGGAGGGCUGCUGUCCUCUCUCGAGGGCCCCAAGAUGCGUCCAUCACUGUUGAUGACGCGCUAUCUGGAGUCCUGGGGCGCGGCCAAGCCUUUUGCCCACCUGAGCCACCUAGAGAGCCCUGUGUCCACCUCUACCCCUCUCCCGGAGAAGGCCCUUGCCUCCUUCAGCCCCCAGUGGAGCCUGGACCGGAGCCGUACCCCCCGGGGACUAGAUGAAGACCUGGAUACUGGGGAUGCCAAGUUCUUCCAAGUCAUCGAACAGCUCAACUCUCAGAAACAAUGGAAGCAGUCAAAGGACUUCAGCCCACUGACACUGUACUUCAGAGAGAAGGAGCUGGAGAAAGAGUAUCGACUCUCUGCCCUCCCCGCCUUCAAAUACUAUGCAGCCUGCACCUUCCUGGUCUUCCUCUCCAAUUUCAUCAUCCAGAUGCUGGUGACCAACAGGCCCCCAGCUCUGGCCAUCACCUAUAGCAUCACCUUCCUUCUCUUCCUCCUCCUCCUCUUCGUCUGCUUCUCAGAGCACCUGACGAAGUGUGUCUUGAAAGGCCCCAAGAUGCUACACUGGCUUCCCACACUGUCUGGCUUGGUGGCCACCCGGCCUGGACUGCGAGUUGCCCUGGGCACUGCCACCAUCCUCCUCGUUUUUGUCAUGGCUAUUACCAGCCUGUUGUUCUUACCGGCAGCAUCACACUGCCCUUCCCGGGCUCCCAAUGUGUCCUCUGUGGCUUUCAACCUCUCCUGGGAGCUCCCUGGGUCCCUGCCUCUCAUCAGCGUCCCGUACUCUAUGCACUGCUGCGUGCUGGGGUUCCUGUCCUGCUCCCUCUUUCUGCACAUGAGCUUUGAGCUGAAGUUGCUGCUGCUCCUGCUGUGGCUGGGGGCCUCCUGCUCCCUCUUCCUGUACUCCCAUGCCUGGCUGUCCGACUGCCUUAUCGCCCGCCUCUAUCCAGAUCCCUUGGACUCCAGGCCAGGGGUGCUGAAGGAACCCAAACUCAUGGGAGCUGUCUCCUUCUUCAUCUUCUUCUUCACUCUCCUUGUCCUGGCUCGGCAGAACGAGUAUUACUGCCGCCUGGAUUUUCUGUGGAAGAAGAAGCUGCGGCAGGAGCAGGAGGAGACAGAAACAAUGGAGAACCUGACUCGGCUGCUGCUAGAGAAUGUGCUCCCCGCACACGUGGCCCCCCAGUUCAUCGGCCAGAACCGGCGCAAUGAGGUGACUCCCACCCCUGACUCCUGAGCCCCAGAUGCCACAGGAACUAAUUUUGGAUGAAAAUCUUGGCCCUCGGCCCAUCAUCUCUGGACUCCCCCACAUUGGGUUGGGUGGCCGCCUGGGUCCCUGUCCCUGUCAGGUAGGUGCCUCCGUUUUCAUAAGCUCUUAGGCUUAGUCUGCUGAGCACAGAACCUCUGCGUUCCAAGUACUUACUUAGAAGGAGUGUCUUCUCCAACCCAUGGCCACUCCAUACCCUCCAGAAGCUUCUUCGAGUGUUGAUGGGAGAUGUAUGGAGAACAUACACCCAGCCCUCUGGACCUGCACUAUCCAGGAUGGUAGCCAGUAGCCAUGUGGGGCCAUUUACAUUUAAGUUAAUUAAAAUGGAACAUUCAGGGGCCUUAGCCUCACUGGUCACAUUUCAAGUGUCUAAGAGCUGCUUAUGGCCAAUGGCAACCAUAUCAGACAUCACAUACUCAGAACUUUCCUACCACAGGAAUUUCCAUUGGUAGAUGUUAAUCUCCAUCCUCAAAUGCUCUCUAGUCAGACCAUCAGAGAAGGUCACCCACAUAUUAGCGCCAUUUUGCCUGUACUGCCUGGACUUCUCCCUGUCUGCUAUGGAGAUACUGUUGGCCUGUCUUGAGGAAUGUUAAAAGAAACAGGUCAGGGUCUAUUCACAGCUUUAUGCCCCCACCAGUUGCUCUCUGCGCUCAAGGUUGGCAGUAGAUCUACUUCCGCUACUCUUAUUUAUACUGGGACUCUUGUAACUGUUCCUGUUUCUGUCUUCACACUGGCUGCUAGAAAGCCCAGAGCCAGAACCUAGGACUGACAAGGACUUCGGGUCACCCCUUUUGUGAACCAACUUUGAAUAGGAUUCCAUCUUUCCUGUCUUACUUUUAUUUUUCCUUUGUCACAUUUCCCCUAUUAUUUUAUCUUUCCCCUAUUAUUUAUCUUGAAGCUAUCUUUGUAAACUGAGUUAACUGGCUUAAUACCCAUUAGCAGCAAGAUAGGACAGAAAGACAGUUCCUACUGAUAUGAUCCCAGUUCUUGAAGAGGCGCCUCUCACAUUGCUAUGAGGUGACCCUGACUCCAAACCCCUAUCUCUCCUGGAAUCAUAAUGAGACCCAAUCUUUGACUACCGAGUCACACAUCCAGGGUAACCUGGCCCUAUCCCUCUCCCUCCUCUCCAGUCCUUCUUAAAUAGAGGAGUAAGAGUAUAGACACAGGGGGGGCGCCUGGGUGGCUCAGUGGGUUAAAGCCUCUG